rnacentral:rRNA from 1 species
GGGAGUACAUCAGCGGCAGACGGGUGAGUAACACGUAGAUAACCUGCCCUCAAGACGGGGACAACCGGUGGAAACAGCGGCUAAUACCCGAUAUGCUCACAGGAUCGGGAGAUCGAGUGAGGAAAGCGCCCCUUCGGGGGAGAGUGUUUGAGGAGGGAUCUGCGGCCCAUCAGCUAGUUGGUGAGGUAACGGCUCACCAAGGCGAAGACGGGUAGGGGGUGUGAGAGCAUGGCCCCCCACAAUGGGACUGAGACACGGCCCAUACUCCUACGGGAGGCAGCAGCGGGGAAUAUUGCGCAAUGGACGGAAGUCAGACGCAGCGACGCCGCGUGGGUGAGGAAGGCCUUCGGGUUGUAAAGCCCUUUUCAGGGGAGCGAGAAAGGACGGUACCCUUGGAAUAAGCGUCGGCUAACUACGUGCCAGCAGCCGCGGUAAGACGUAGGACGCAAGCGUUAUCCGGAUUUACUGGGCGUAAAGCGCCUGUAGGCGGUCAAGUAAGUCGGAUGUGAAAGCCCCGUGCUCAACGCGGGGAAGCCAUUCGAUACUGCGUGACUAGAGAACGGACGAGGGAAACGGAAUUUAUGGUGUAGCGGUAAAAUGC